CCCAGACUCCUACGGGAGGCAGUAGUGGGGAAUAUUGGACAAUGGGGGAAACCCUGAUCCAGCGACGCCGCGUGAGUGAAGAAGUAUUUCGGUAUGUAAAGCUCUAUCAGCAGGGAAGAAGAAAUGACGGUACCUGACUAAGAAGCCCCGGCUAACUACGUGCCAGCAGCCGCGGUAAUACGUAGGGGGCAAGCGUUAUCCGGAUUUACUGGGUGUAAAGGGAGCGUAGACGGCGAUGCAAGCCAGAUGUGAAAGCCCGGGGCUCAACCCCGGGACUGCAUUUGGAACUGUGUGGCUGGAGUGUCGGAGAGGCAGGCGGAAUUCCUAGUGUAGCGGUGAAAUGCGUAGAUAUUAGGAGGAACACCAGUGGCGAGGCGGCCUGCUGGACGAUGACUGACGUUGAGGCUCGAAAGCGUGGGGAGCAAACAGGAUUAGAUACCCCUGUAU
rnacentral:rRNA from 1 species